CUAUAAAGCUGUAACAGUUGAGCUCAAACCUUCUGAGUGGGAAAUAUGGUUAGCCUCUGUAGUGUCCAUGUGGAAGUCCUGACCUCGCUUGCAGACUUGACCUCUGGAGAUGAAAAGCUCUUCAUCAGAGAAAUGAGCUAGGUUCAUCUUCCUUGGACAUUCUAGCAUCCUUAACUUUCGGUCCAGCAAGCACAAGAGCUGAAUCAGCGAAUAGAGUGAACGAACACUCAGGAUGAGAUGGCUGCUGCUGAUGGGUCUGUCUCUCUAGGUCAUUACCUCUCCUCCAACUGCAAAUGCUGCAUGAUACUAAGCUUACAGAAUUCAGAAGCACAAGUCAUGAAAGAAUUCUGCUGAGAAGACAAGAUGAAACCUUUCCAAUUACAAAAAUAUACCCUGCACAACUUCAUCAGGUCAAUGAAUCACACAAAUUUGGCCAAACCAGGAUGAAGAGCAACAGAUAUGUUUGGAAAUGACUAUGACCAGCAAGAACAAUGAAGUGUAGUAAGCCUUAAUUCCAAAUCUGCAGGUAAAUGACACUAUAAAGUUCAGUCCUUGUUGAAAAAGUAAUAUGUGCAAGUAAGUACACCAUUUUUGUAAAUAAUGAGCAAGUUCAAUGUUAGUCUAAUGAUAAAGGAAUAGGGAAAAUUAAAUAUUUCAGGUUUAUCUGACAACUGUCUAGACCUACUCAGAGCACAUACUUCUUUAUGUACCCAUAUGAACAUACAAUGCUAUGGAAUGUAAAGAAGUAUGUAUUUUUGGUAGGUGAUAAACCACCAAGGGGGAAAGACCUAGACUGCGACGGGAACAAGCAGCAUUUCUUUUGGAAUGACCUUCAUGUAGCAAAUUAACCUGGCAAGAAUGAGGACAUUUUUUAGUAUUGCCACAACAAAAUGUGAAACAACAUAUUCAAUUCCAAAGACACUGACGGUAUUUAUGUGAAGAAAGAAAGAUUUCUGUUGAAAAAACGGUAAAGAAAAGUAUGAGUAUUUUGGUUCCUUUCUCUUUUUAAAUCCUUUUUAAAACAAGAAAGAUUCAGAGUGAUUCAGGUGACUAAAAUUUGAGAGCCCAAAAAGAGAAAGUCAUCUUAGCACAGAGAGAACGAAAACACAGUUUACUUUCACAUCUGGUAUUUGCCAAUGUUUUGAUUCAACUAUUACAUUUUAAUUUAGGUAUGUCACAAUAAAAUUUUUUGAUUUAUCAAAUUCUGGCAUACCAAAAAAGGGUUUACUCACUCAAAAAUGUUAGCAAAAUACUCAAAAUAAAUAGCUGUUGAAAUCUGACCUACAAAUAGUUGGAGAAAUUUUUCAUGAAAAGGCUUUUUUUGGGUAGUCUUGACAAUCAGUCACAGCUAUAGUUUCAAUUCUAAAAGAUUAGUGAUUAACAGUGAGCCCUUUCUCCCCAUCUCUGCCCCCCCAAAGAAAAAGCACCUUUACCCUUUUAAGUCUGUUAGAUCAUUAAUCAAAUCCACACUUGAAAUGUUUUGUUGACUGUUUAGAUUGAAUAAACUGAAAUGGCAGAUUUUAGCAUAGAAAAUGAUAAUCCAAUAAUUUCUAGGAUACAGCUGCUAAUCAUAAAAUUACUACUGGGGCAGCUAGGUGGCACAGUGGAUAGAGCACCAGCCCUGGAGCCAGGAGUACCUAAAUUCAAAUCCAGCCUCAGACACUUAACACUUACUAGCUGUGUGACCCUGGGCAAGUCACUUAACCCCAAUUGCCUCACUAAAAAAAAAAAUAAAUAAAUAAAUAAUAAUAAUAUUACUACUACCAAUAGAAUCUUGAAUUUAAAAAGAGGAAUGAGGGUUUUGGGGGGUCAUUUUACUAUAUAUCUUUGAGCUUUGUUUUAUCCCAAUCACUAUAUUUAAGCCAAACUGGAUUAACUAACAUAGAUACCAAACUAUUCCCUAUUUGUAAGGUACAGUGUUAUAAUUAAAUUUAUUAUAAAUGCUAAAGACCCACUAUUUGUAGCACUAAAACCAUCAGUUGUUAUGAAUAAGAUCUAUGGGGGAGGGGGGAGAUAAUGGGAGAAAAAUAUCCUAAAUGCCUAUCAAAAUGAAUAAAAUAAACCCUAUUAAGGCCAUAAAAUUAAUAAGUGACAAAUGCACAGAAAACUUAGAGGUAUCUUCAUUUUGUUUCAGUUCAGUUUGUUUGCUAGACAGCCCUUAAAUGAGACAGCCACACUCAAGUGAUACUACUUUACCUUGGAUAGCUAGGAAGAUCUUACCUGAAGUGUGGGAUUUUGUUUGGGUUAUGUUGGCUUUUUAAUAUUGAGUGUUCUUUUUUGUGUCAGAAGUCAUAUAGAAAUGCCUAAAAGUUGGCCAAAGUUAAUUUUCUUUCUACCCAUUAAUUUAAUUGGUCAAGCAAGCAAUAGAAAAAUCAUAAAUUACAACUGUAACCUACAGAGAACAUGAAACUGACUUUGUAAUGUUUGAGAGACUAAAAAUCUUUUCAGUUUGAUUGAGGAAAAUCAUAUGUACGAAUGAAAUAUAUUUCACAUAUUUCAAAAAUAUUUCCAGGAAUGGUUUUUCCUAAAAAUAAUUCCCUCAAAAAUAAGCUAAUGUUCAUCUCUUGAUAAUAGUUUUUAAAGAAUUUUAUGUUACUUGAUAAGUAUUAACUUUUAGAAAUUCUCAACAGUAGUUGGUGGUUUCUCCUGUGUUCUCCAAUACUCUACUUUGUUAUGAUUAUCCCCUUAAAUUUUGUAAUGAAUACUUUACAGAUAAAUUACUCUAUACAUUCUAAAAUUUAUUUUUUUAAAUUACUGAAAACAUAUCAAUGACCUAUUAUCUCUUAUAAUUUCAUAUUAAGAUCAUGAUACUUUGAAACAAAAUGAUAGCUGGCCAAUUACAAAAGGUAGAAGUAUAUAUUGAUACUAUUGCAUACUAGCUCAACUUAACAUACCUAAGAGUAUAUUCAGUCAUUCUAAAAUGUCACAUCUAUCACUUAGAUCAGCUGUUCAUUUUUAACUGAGUACACACUAAACUCUGGGCAUCUGCUGACACUGUUGUAACUCAAACAUUUCAACUGUCUCCCUGACAGGGAUAACAGAUGCUGACAUUAUCAAAUGCUGUACUAUGUGUUUCUUUUUUUCCAUGGCCUCUUUUUGCCCCGAUAUGGCCAGUAUAUGAAACUGAACUGACAUCCAAAAGCACACUUGAGCAGCUGGAUCUGCUAAGUAGUUCCCAUAUAACUGAUAAAAAUAGAAGCCCAUUUUAAGGUUAUCAUCAGUGCUUAAGUCCAGGCAACCUGACACCUGCUAUGUUUCUAUUAGAAUACAUGGUGUAAAGAAUAUAUUUACAUAAAUAUCUUCAGCAACAUUAUACUUAUCUACCGACAGAUGCAGAGUAUACUUGACAAAAGUAGUCUGAACUAAUACUGACCCCCUCUCUUUGUUCCUUAACUGCCUCUGGCCAGACAAAAGAGGAACAAUAAAAAAUUCUGCUGAAGCUCUCUAUGACUCCUCUAACUUAUGCUCCUUUUAGGCUGUUUUUUAAAUCGGGCCUUUAACUUCACACAGUAAUACUUCAGAAGACAAACUCUGAUACUCUGCCCCUUGUCAAGCCAAAUCCAAAUGUAAACUAUGUUAGAUUUUCUAAAUUGUCAUCACUAUGCUAACAUGAAAUAGCAAAAUUCUACUUGUUCAAAUGAAUAUAGCUUUAUAUUUUCUCAAGACAUUAUUUCUUUAAUACUGAGAUUUCUUCAGUCAGGGUUCUCUUUGAAUUAAAACGAAUCACAAUCCCUGUAUGCCAGGGGUCAACCUAGUGAUAAGCCUCUCCAAAAUUAGUUAGGCUGGUUGUCAGAUUACAGAGUCCAAAACUAGACCUGUUUUCCAAUGCCUCACCAGCAUGGCAGGAUCUACCAGGGUAUAUAUUCCACAGGCCCAGCCUUGAAAAAAUCCAGGGUCACCUCUACAAUAAAAUGAAGUAACAGAGAUUUUGGUGAAGGUAAAAAAUUACCCUUGACCAAAACUUCAUUUUGCUUGUAAGAUGGGAUGAGGUGACUUGUUUUCAAAAUUAGUCUAUCUGUACCAAUAUGACUAACUGAGGAAAUCAAAUUAUUAUUCUAAGCAAAGUCUAACUAGCUAUCUGUGUAAGGUUAGCAACAUUACGUAAGUGAUAUGAGGUGAAAAAAUACACUGGCAUAUAUGGUGGUUCCUUUCACCCACAUAGGCUCAAACAAUACUUUUAAUAUACGUAUGAUCUAUUUAUAAACCAAAGGGCAGAAGUACUUCAAGGCCAUUCUCAUUCUUCUCCACCCCCUUUCAGCAACUUGCUAUUGGUCCAUAACAGUUUAAGACUAAAAAAAGCAAUAGUGAUAGAAAAGGUGUGACCUGUUGAAAUCAAGAACAGUACUUAUCCCCACUUCAAAUAUACAGACAUCAGUUUUCACUGAUUAAGCAAUCUGGUUUACUGCCCAAAGAUUUAAAUUAAGAAUGAUAUGUUAUUCUAGUUGCAGCCACUUUUAAAAUGAGUUACUUUCUGUGUUUAUAAAUUAUAUGAAGUUGUUCAAAAGAUAACAGCAACAGUAUAACAAUCCACCCACUUCUGUUCUUCCACUGAAGUAAAAGGAUUCUUUCAAACAGUAGUCAUCUUUAAAAUAGAAGACUUUCAACUCAACUCAACAAAGUACAGAUCUAUCUUGUUAAUUUCUAAAUUUUACAGAGGGGUACAAGUUCAUAAAGAUUAUUAACACAAGAAACUAAACUAUUUCAAAUCAAACAACUCUAAAGCAUGACAAUGCUUUGCUAAAGCUGGUAAAAUGGAACCAAAUCACCUAUUCAAUGGAUUUGGUCCCCUUCAACCAGCUGUAGCUAUGCAUUGAUUACUACAAGAAAGCAAAAACUUUCAAUAAAGAAUAUAAUUAACAUAUGUCAACUAAUUUUCAACUUGUUUGGUUUUCAGAACAUGGUUAAAUAUAGUACAGAUAAUGAUUUACAGUAACAUUUGAAUUUUAUAUUUUAUCAAACUGUAUUUUAAGGUAUAAUACUUCUGUUACUAAUGCUUGUAAAGAAUGAUUUUUAGGAUAA